AGACCUUAAGUGGUUGCUUGCUGCGUUGGAAUCAAUGUUGUUUCACCGUCUGAAGUCACAAUGACUCCAGGAAUGAUGACCUUAACACUCUUUCUACUUUAUCCUGCAGGUGUCUGUGGGUCUAUUCUCAUCACUCAGUGGCCUCCAUGCAUCUCAAGUCCUUCUAACAGCCUUGCAGAAAUCCACUGCUACCAGAACCACACAUCUUACCAGUAUCUGUACUGGUACAGGGAGCUGGGAGGAGGAGACAUCCAGCUGAUUGUGUAUUUGAUAGCUGGUAAUCCAAACUAUGAAGAAGGAUUCAAAUCAGGUUUUGAGACUCGGGUGCAGGACCAGCAGUGGACUCUGAUGAUAUUGAGCAUUCAGGAGAAGGAUGAGGCUGUUUAUCUGUGUGCUGCCAGUCCCACACGUACUUUGUCAGAAGCUUACUUUGGAGCUGGAACUAAACUCACCGUUUUAGAACCAGGCCGAUCCCCCACAACACCAACUGUAGAAGUCUUUAAACCUUCAGCUAAAGAGUGCAACGACCCAAACAAGAAAAGGAAGAAGACUCUGGUUUGUGUGGCCUCUGGUUUCUACCCAGAUCAUGUCAGCGUGUCCUGGAUGCUUAAUGGGGUCCAGACAGGUAAAGGUGUGGCGACAGACAGCACAGCCAAGAGGGACGGGGACUCCUACAGAAUCACCAGCAGGCUGAAGGUCCAGGCUAAGGACUGGUUCAGACCUGGGAAUCGUUUCACCUGCACCGUCAGCUUCUUUAAUGGAACCAUCACCACCCCUCAUUCUGCUUCAGUUUCAUCAACUGAAACAGAGAAAGGCAUGACUCGAGAGAAAUAUCUGAGGAUCACUCAGAACGCCAAACUCUCCUAUGUGGUUCUGAUUGUGAAGAGCUGCAUCUACGGAGCCUUUGUUUGCUUUUUGGUCUGGAAGCUUCAGAGUUCAGCUGGAAAACGGAACAAGUGAGAUCUGAGCUGAAGUCUGAACAAACCAACGAGUUUCACGAGGAACAUUUUCUGGUUUCUGUAAAUAAAAUCUGUAGAAAACAGAACAU